rnacentral:rRNA from 1 species
AACGAACGCUGGCGGCGCGCUUAACACAUGCAAGUCGAACGAGAAGGCGUAGCAAUACGCUUGUACAGUGGCGAACGGGUGAGGAAUACAUGGGUAACCUACCCUCGAGUGGGGGAUAACCCGCCGAAAGGCGGGCUAAUACCGCGUACGCUUCCGAUCUUGCGGGGUUGGAAGGAAAGCUGUCCCUUGGGGAUGGCGCUCAAGGAUGGGCUCAUGUCCUAUCAGCUUGUUGGUAGGGUAAUGGCCUACCAAGGCAUCGACGGGUAGCUGGUCUGAG